AAAUUGAAGAGUUUGAUCAUGGCUCAGAUUGAACGCUGGCGGCAGGCCUAACACAUGCAAGUCGAACGGUAACAGGAAACAGCUUGCUGCUUUGCUGACGAGUGGCGGACGGGUGAGUAAUGUCUGGGAAACUGCCUGAUGGAGGGGGAUAACUACUGGAAACGGUGGCUAAUACCGCAUAAUGUCGCAAGACCAAAGAGGGGGACCUUCGGGCCUCUUGCCAUCAGAUGUGCCCAGAUGGGAUUAGCUGGUUGGUGAGGUAACGGCUCACCAAGGCGACGAUCCCUAGCUGGUCUGAGAGGAUGACCAGCCACACUGGAACUGAGACACGGUCCAGACUCCUACGGGAGGCAGCAGUGGGGAAUAUUGCACAAUGGGCGCAAGCCUGAUGCAGCCAUGCCGCGUGUAUGAAGAAGGCCUUCGGGUUGUAAAGUACUUUCAGCGGGGAGG
rnacentral:rRNA from 1 species